rnacentral:rRNA from 1 species
GAUGAACGCUGGCGGCGUGCCUAAUACAUGCCAGUCGAGCGAACAGACGAGGAGCUUGCUCCUCUGACGUUAGCGGCGGACGGGUGAGUAACACGUGGAUAACCUACCUAUAAGACUGGGAUAACUUCGGGAAACCGGAGCUAAUACCGGAUAAUAUAUUGAACCGCAUGGUUCAAUAGUGAAAGACGGUUUUGCUGUCACUUAUAGAUGGAUCCGCGCCGCAUUAGCUAGUUGGUAAGGUAACGGCUUACCAAGGCAACGAUGCGUAGCCGACCUGAGAGGGUGAUGGGCCACACUGGAACUGAGACACGGUCCAGACUCCUACGGGAGGCAGCAGUAGGGAAUCUUCCGCAAUGGGCGAAAGCCUGACGGAGCAACGCCGCGUGAGUGAUGAAGGUCUUCGGAUCGUAAAACUCUGUUAUUAGGGAAGAACAAAUGUGUAAGUAACUAUGCACGUCUUGACGGUACCUAAUCAGAAAGCCACGGCUAACUACGUG